rnacentral:misc_RNA from 1 species
AAGUCGUAACAAGGUUUCCGUAGGUGAACCUGCGGAAGGAUCAUUAAAGAAUAAACCUGGUAGGACUGUAGCUGGCUCUCUCGGGAGCAUGUGCACGUUCUUGCCAUCUUUAUCUCUCCACCUGUGCACAUUUUGUAGAUCAAUGGAUGCGAGCGUUCUGAGGUCUUGAUUGACCUUCAGGUUAUGAGGAUUGACGGAGUCGCAAGAUAUACCGGCUUUCCUUGGAGUGUCCCAUUGUCUAUGUCUUUUUCAUAUACACCAAUGAAUGUAAUAGAAUGUAAAUUGGGUCUUUGUACCUAUAUAAAAAAAGUUUAUACAACUUUCAGCAACGGAUCUCUUGGCUCUC